rnacentral:rRNA from 1 species
GGACGACGAUCCGUAGCUGGUCUGAGAGGAUGACCAGUCACACCGGAACUGAGACACGGUCCGGACUCCUACGGGAGGCAGCAGUGGGGGAAGUAUUGGACAAAUGGGCGCAAGCCUGAUCCAGCCAUGCCGCGUGGGUGAAGAAGGCCUUCGGUUGUAAAGCCCUUUAGGUGGGGAGGAAGGCAUUCAUGCUAAUACCAUGGAUGAUUGACGUUACCCACAGAAUAAGCACCGGCUAACUCCGUGCCAGCAGCCGCGGUAAUACGGAGGGUGCAAGCGUUAAUCGGAAUUACUGGGCGUAAAGCGCACGUAGGCGGUUUGACAAGUGGGAUGUGAAAGCCCUGGGCUCAACCUGGGAACUGCAUCCCAAACUGUCAGGCUAGAGUAUGGUAGAUGGGGGGCGGAAUUCCCGGUGUAGCGGUGAAAUGCGUAGAGAUCGGGAGGAACAUCAGUGGC